rnacentral:rRNA from 1 species
AACGAACGCUGGCGGCGUGCCUAACACAUGCAAGUCGAACGAGAAAGGGGCUUCGGCCCUGAGUAAAGUGGCGCACGGGUGAGUAACACGUGGGUAACCUGCCCCUGAGAUUGGGAUAACCUGUCGAAAGACGGGCUAAUACCAAAUAAGACCACGACUCCUUGAGGAGUUGAGGUCAAAGGUAGCCUCUAUUUAUAAGCUAUCGCUCGGAGAUGGGCCCGCGCACCAUUAGCUAGUUGGUGGGGUAAUGGCCUACCAAGGCAAAGAUGGUUAGCUGGUCUGAGAGGAUGAUCAGCCACACUGGAACUGAGACACGGUCCAGACUCCUACGGGAGGCAG